rnacentral:tRNA from 1 species
GCUGGUGUGGCAUAGUGGUUUGGGUGUUGGACUAUGAGUCUGGAGACCAGGGUUCAAUUCCCAGCUCAGUCA